rnacentral:rRNA from 1 species
UCCAGACUCCUACGGGAGGCAGCAGUGGGGGAUAUUGCACAAUGGGGGGAACCCUGAUGCAGCGACGCCGCGUGGGUGAAGGAGCACCUCGGUGCGUAAAGCCCUAUCGGCAGGGAAGAAACAGACGGUACCUGACUAAGAAGCCCCGGCUAACUACGUGCCAGCAGCCGCGGUAAUACGUAGGGGGCAAGCGUUAUCCGGAUUCACUGGGUGUAAAGGGAGCGUAGACGGCGGCGCAAGUCUGGAGUGAAAGCCCGGGGCCCAACCCCGGGACUGCUCUGGAAACUGUGGCGCUGGAGUACGGGAGGGGGAGGCGGAAUUCCUGGUGUAGCGGUGAAAUGCGUAGAUAUCAGGAGGAACACCGGUGGCGAAGGCGGCCUGCUGGACUGCGACUGACGUUGAGGCCCGAAAGCGUGGGGAGCAAACAGGAUUAGAUACCCUAGUAA